AUGAAUUAUCACUCCAUAUUGGGCCACCUUAUUGGACCCGAGCCAGGCCCAUUAGUGUUGGGCCUCAAAUUCGAGGCUCUAAGAAGCCUAGCCGAGGCGCCACCAAGGCCAUAAAAAGCCCAGCCGAAGUGCCUAUCACUUUGCUCACCUCAUACUGGGCUCGAACUUAGGCCCAUUAACCCGCCUUAGCCCAUUUCACAUCAUUUCUCUAUAUAUAUGGAUUCAAUUCACAAGUUAAGGUAUGUUCUAAAUACUCUAGCCAAAUCCCCUAUCUCUCUACUAUUGCACUCUAUAUAUUUAUCUCCGUCCGGCCGUUGACUUGACCGUCGGAGUGCAAACGGUCGCCGGACCUUUUUCUCGUCCGGCCGCCUUUGCCUCUUGACGGGUGUUACAUGCGCAGGUUUCGAGGGGACAAAGCUAGGGUGCCUGUUGGAGCCAUUUUUGGAGGUCAACAGAUUGGCGCCGUCUGUGGGAAUCGGUACGUUAACCAUGUUAUACCACGUACCAAAAGGUCACUGGAAAUUGAAAAAAAAAAUUCUGGGCAGUUUCUCUACCAAAAAGAAGCAAGAAGAGCAACCAAAGAAAAUAAAAUUGGAGCUAUUAGAAUCUGCCAUGACAAAUGGUCAUGGCCGGCCAAGGGUUGAUAAACCCACCAUGUAAUGGCAACUGGAAGAAAAAUUUGAAGAAGAAGAGCUGUCCAUUUUAAUCUUGGAUAAAAUGCAAAAGACAAAAGUCAAGAAAUGAAAGCUUAUUGAAAAAAUGCUCCAUUGAUGGGUUGUUCACAAAGUGGCAGACAACAACAUUCUAUGCACACUCCACUUGUCGUGAACAAUAUUCUCACAUUGCAUGGGAAAGAAAUCAGCUUCAAGUGAAGAACAGAACCAACAACAAAAAUGAAUGAAUUUAUCUACCAAAAUUCACCGGCAAACGAGGGAGUCUUGCCACUAUUUUUUCGUCAGAAACCGAAGCUACCACAAAAAAUGUACACUGACCAACAGUCAAGACUCCACCUCAUUUUUGCAUGAAAAUGCAGUCACGAUCAGAGGGCAAAUUUUGACAGCCCAGCGUGCUACAUCGUCGAGCCUCUCCACUGCCAUUGCAAUGGGCUUUGCAAAAAGCCGUACGGUACACACUUUUAUUCUCAAGCUACAUUCUUUGAAAAAUUGAUUGUGAAUUGCUAUGAAGAUGGUGGAAAAGAUAAAUUAUGGAAAUGGGUUCUACAAAAUAAAAAAUUCUGCUGCCAAUCAACCAUUUAUUGAUAGACCACGAAGUGCUCGAUGAAAUGCCAAACCAAAAAAUUUUCUCAUUAUAAAGAUGGAUUUUGCUACCAUUGGGGCAGCCUUGCAUUUCACAAAUUCCAGCCAAGACCGUUGAAGUCGCCGACCAUGGAUGGUCCCCGAUCUUCCUUUCUGUUGUGUCCAUUGUCUUAGCAUUAAUUUGAUUGGAAAAUGACAGUGAUGGUGGCGUGUCCAAACAAUUAAUAGCUGUGAAUAUCAAUUUUUUCCAGACUUUUGCUGACACAGUGGGUACACUUUAAGGCUUGUUUGGUAUUGCUAAUUAUUCAUUUGUAGACAAGGUUGGAAUCUGUGCAUGCUCUCUAGAAUUUGUGCCAAUUAAAUGUUUCAUUUUACUUGGGCCGAUUAUUGAACUUUCUUUAUCUAUUUUGGGCCUCAAAGGUCGAUAAAUUUGGGAUAUAGGCUGCCCUCCCAUUAUGAAAAAAUAAAUAAAUUGCAAGCUUAAUUGGGCCUAUUACUUUAUUUAAUCCAAACAAUUAAUAUCUGCAUAGUGGGGAUUACUAUUCUGACUCCCAGACUUAUUUUCCACGGUAAAAUUGCUUUGAUAUGAUUGGGCUUAAAUCUAGUCUUCACGUGGGGCCAUAGUUGGGGAGUUGUUUUUAUCCAGCUCGGCACAUCUUUAUGACCCUCUCCCUUCUACUUGAGUUGCCGUUUAUUAUGAAAAAAUUGGGCUGGUCGGAUUUUCUUCUAAAUCCCUUGGAUCUGCUGGAUACUUCAAUUUAUUAGUCUUGCCUCCACUCUGAGCAUGGUAAUAUAUUUGUUGGGAAAAAUCUGCGACACACAAGAAGCAACCACUAGAGAGUCCUACUCGGCUAAUUCUUGAUCAUGAAGGCAGACUUACUAAUUCUCACAUUAUGGCACAUGAAUUAUUCAAACAAUCCGAAAUCCUUGUUCCUUGAAUAAAGGGAGAGGUAGUACCUUGAAAUCCUCGUUCCUUGAAUAAAGGAAGAAGCAUAUAUUUUGGAAUCCUUGUUCCUUGAAAAAAGGAAGAGGCUAAUGGUCAGACGUGCUAGCCCUUGAAAAAGGAGUCUUUCCUGACCUUCUUUGCAAGACCUUUAUUCCUCACAUCUCACUAUCGUUGAGCUUAGCUAUAAGACCUCGUUUGUCCGAGGCUGCUUAUAAGACUCCGAUAGUUUGAGAGUGAUUCGCGGGAUGUCCAUUUCCCGCUUCGCCAGAUGCUUAUUCCUAACUUCGUGAGAUGAUUAUCCCUCACCCUUCACUAUCACGAGUCACCAGCUAGAUAUUUGUUCACCGCUUCAUGAGAAGCCUUGUUGUACGAAUUACUGCAUUAUGCCCCGCUUAUGUUCAGAAAGGUCAUCAUGCCUCUACAUAACAACUAUCUACGUUCAGUUCAAAGUCUGCCUCUGCAUCGUCAUCAGUACAUUUAUUCUGUUCAGAGUCGACCUCAGCAUUCGUAUCAGUACAUCUAUUAUGUUCAGUUCAGAGUCAGCCUCUGCUUCGUUAUCAGUACAGCUGUUCAGUUCAGGGUCAGCCUCUGCAUUCGUAUUAGUACAGCUGUUCAGUUCAUAAUUUUGCUUCUGCCUCAGCCAUGUUACAUCUACUUAUCUUCGGAGAGCUAAUAUUACCCCAACAUGGCUGCACCAUCCACCAUGUCUGGGAUGCGUCGUCACCUCGGAGGAGAGGCUCGCGUCCCAUCUCUGGGCCACCUCGCUUGAACUCCGAGGCGCUAGCACAUGCCUUCCUCUGGCCAGACUGAGCGCCAAGGGGAGAAGCCCUAAC
rnacentral:lncRNA from 1 species